UACGUAGGGUGCGAGCGUUGUCCGGAAUUAUUGGGCGUAAAGGGCGCGUAGGCGGUUUGUCGCGUCGGGCGUGAAAACUCAGGGCUUAACCUUGAGCCUGCGUCCGAUACGGGCAGACUAGAGGUAUGCAGGGGAGAGCGGAAUUCCUGGUGUAGCGGUGAAAUGCGCAGAUAUCAGGAGGAACACCGGUGGCGAAGGCGGUUCUCUGGGCAUUACCUGACGCUGAGGAGCGAAAGUGUGGGGAGCGAACGGG
rnacentral:rRNA from 1 species